UUCUCUACCACUCAUAUAUGAUAUAUGAGACUACUGUAUUCAAUAAAGUAAUGGGCAGCGCAUCAUCGAAUCAUCGAUUCAUCUACUAGUUCAAUAAUAUUAAUUUUGGCAGGAAUGUUUGGGGAGAUUGAAGUUUAAGAUGGAAAAUUCUAAGGGAACCUAAUGAACUGAUCAACUAAGCUCAGACCUAUAACUUUAGUAUGCAAAUCUCUUCAGGGGUGAGUAGUUCUCCACCACUUGUGCAGUGAUAUUUUUCACUAGCCUCCCUCAAAAUUUUCGGCCAGUGUCUCUGUCACAUCCAUCAACGAAUCCCUUUUUUCUCUCUCUAUGAAUCCAUCAUAGAAACCCUAACCAGUUCUUACCCAAAUUCUCUGAAUCCAUCAUAUAAACCCUAAACCUGUCUUACGAAAUUAUCCGAAUCCCUUUUGUCUCUCUGAAUCCCAAACACGAUAAACCCUAUUUCGCGAUUUUCAUCUCCCAAUCGCAUGGAGCUUCGUCUUCCAUCACAGAGGAUAAUCGCCCAGAUUCACACAAGAAGCCAGUCUUCACCAAUGCAGGCAUAUAAUCAGGCCAUCAAUGAUCUAGACAAGGAACUCGAUCAUCUGAAGAACGCAUUUUAGCUACCUGCGUGAAAUUUGUACCAUGGACAACGAGGUGGAGAAAGUGUCUGAACGUUGAAAGUCAACUUGUGCCAAGAAUUAAUAAACAAUGUGAAGAUUGAUGUAUUGAUUUGUUUUAAACAAAUGUUAGAUUUUCUUUUUUUGUUUUGGCAUAUUGAACAAUGAUGAAUUGUGAAAAUAUCUCUAGUCUUUUGAUAUGUUUAAUGUUGUAUUUAAAUGUUGAUUGUUUUGGUUAUUGGCAUCUAGUUGAAAGUGUUAGCAUCGUUUAGUUGAAACUGUGGGCAAUU